ACCGGAAGUCCCGGUGUAUUUUCCCCGUAUAACUAUUUUAUUAUGUUUUUAGCAUGUGAUAGUUUGAAACUCGGGAUCAUUGUGGAUUUCGUUGGUUUUGCUUGUUAAGAACGUGGGUGGUUGAUGUUCGGGACCACCGUGCGGUUUGAUUGGUUGGUUUCGUCUCGUUAAGGUAUGUUUUCGUUUUUUAUUUAGUUUUGUUUAUUUGAGUGUGAUUGGUAAUCAUUAAAUGAUCUAUUUCGUUAUAGGUUGUCGGAUGAUAGUGACUAGUCGCUGUUGUCUUUUGGGUUUUCUUUUUUGUAAAACUGACUGCUCCCUGGUGUGAAUGUAUGUUAAUUCACUAUCCAGCUGCUGUUUUGUUCCUUUUGGAAUUAUUAGGUCUGUGUAAUUUGGUUUAACGGUUGGCUAGGGGAUUUUGUUUAUUUCUUUUUCCCCUUUUUUUUCUUUUGAUUUUAAGAACAUUGAUCUUCUGUUUUUUUUUUUUUUUCUGUACCCUUUGGGUAUUCCCCUUGGGUAGCUUCCCACCACUUCUUUGGGGAAUCUGAGACAGGGAUUAGUGAGCCCCAACAGGUUUUGUGUGCUUAAUGGUGUGAUGUAUUGAUUUUGAGGGUGUAUUAUUAAUGAUUUGUGGUGGGUUUAUGGGGUUGAGAUUGCUGUGCUCAUACAGUUUGUAGUGAAGCUACUCUUCCCUGUAGGAAGCUCCAUUAUCUUGUCUGAUUGAUUAUACCAUUUGAAGGAGGCUGCCCUUGUGGGCUGUUUUUGGUCAGGGUGAAUGACCCAAAUUAUUUUAAUGCUUUGUUAAAUAAAGUUUAAUGUUUUAUUAUUAUCCUAUCCUUACUGUAGUGAAUUUUCUUUGUAUGCACCUACAGUAAGUUCCUUGGGUGUGCAGGGUGCUACAUUGUUUUGUUUGAUGAUUGUGCCAUUCUGUUAUGCCUUACAUAUUAACUUGAGUACUAUAAGCAAUAAAAUAAAUUUGUUUUGCCUUCUCA